rnacentral:lncRNA from 1 species
GCCAAGUUUCUUCAAGCUCAGAGUAAGAUAAUGGUGAUGGCUUACAUAUCUGCGGUGGCGCUGGUUAUACAUACCAUUUUUAGCUGGCUGUUGAUGUUGAAGUUAGGAUGGGGGUUAUGGGGCGGAGCUAUAGUGCUCAACCUUUCAUGGUGGUUCAUGGUGAUCGCUCAGAUGAUUUAUAUUUUCAGUGGGACUUGUGGUCGAGCAUGGUCAGGGUUUAGUUUGGGCGCUUUCAGUAAUCUGUGGAGCUUCGUUAAGCUUUCCUUAGCAUCAGCUAUCAUGCUUUGGUAUGUUAAAAAUUACUUUUUUACCCCUUUCAUUUGAAAUCAAAACGACAACCUUCUUUAACAAUGUGAUUCUAUGUUGGCCAUUAAGUAAUUUUUUUUUAAAUAAUUUGUGCAGCCUGGAAACAUGGUAUUUUAUGGCCUUGGUACUUUUUGCUGGAUAUUUAAAGAAUGCUGAAAUUGCAGUUGAUGCACUCUCAAUAUGGUUAGUAUUAUUUCCAUUAUGUAAGAAUUCUUUUAUUGAUAAUCAGUUUGUAUAAAUUAUUGAUAACAUAAGUUCUGUUGCAUUUAUUACGUAUAUCUUUAUAAAAUAUAGUAUUUUAGAUACUUAAUUAUCUAGGUGGAUGAUAUGUAUGUAAAUGGUUUAAUAUUUUAUAUUUUAAAACUUUUUACAUCUGCAUGAAAAUGUUCUAAACUUUAUCUUUAUUCAUUUAUCAUUUCGUGAUAUAAGCAAAGAAAGAUUCCCACCAAAUUUUGCAACAUAUUUUAUUUGAUAAUAUUAAUUUUAAUAAUAUAUACCUAAUAUGUCAAAAUUGACCAAUGUUCUCGUAGGAAAACUUCAAUUUGUACUCUCAUGUUUAUCGCUGUAUGAAUUGAUUUGGUAAGUGGUUUAUUAGGUAACAUGGGGUCCCACAUAUGCUUUUCGAAUAAGCACAUGUGAACUCGUUCUGUCCUCAUCAAUAAGUUAUAUAGUCAUAGACUAUGUCUAUAAGUAUUCAAGAUAGAAAAGCGACACAUCAAAUAUCAUGCUCAUAUUGAUUCAAUGGUUUCAUUAAUUGCUUCCUUUUAUGUAGUUACUUUUUCAUUUUUCUACUUCUAUAAUAUUCUCUAUUCAAUUCUUGUGUUUGUUCUUUUAAACUUUUAAUAUAAGUAUAUUGAUUCAAAAUGAAAUUAUCUGUUUAUACUUUCUACCUCCCAACUAUACGGUAACUUUUGUAAUAGUUUUUUUAAAUUUGCCCAAACAUAAUAUUAUAAUUUUAUAUUUUAAUUGCUCGCUUAUUUGGCCUAUUAAAUAUUUUCUUUUAAAUAACUUUUGCAGCACAAACAUUGUUGGGUGGGCAGUUAUGAUAGCAAUCGGAUUCAAUGCAGCUAUCAGGUUAGUUACUUUAAUAUCUUUCGUUCAAAAAAACAAAUAGUUAAUUUAAUUCCACACAAUAAAUAAAUCCAAAAAAUGAAUUUUGUAUUGUGUUUGCAGUGUAAGGGUGUCAAAUGAAUUAGGGGCAGCCCACCCAAGAACAGCCAAGUUCUCAGUGGUGGUAGUGAUUUUUUUUGCAUUUAUAAUCGGCGUUUUAUUGGCAAUAAUUCUUGCCAUUUUCCGGCAUCAAUAUCCAGCCUUAUUUUCUGAUAGUUUAGAAGUUCAAGAAGCUGUUUACGCUCUUACCCCAUUGUUAGGGGCUUGCCUUAUCAUUAACAAUAUCCAACCCGCACUUUCUGGUAUGUGUUUUUCAUAUUUUAUGUAUUCUUGCAAUUUUAUGAGUAGUAAAACUUUCAAUAUGUGAAAAAUGUAGGGGUUGCAAUUGGGGCAGGAUGGCAAGCUGUGAUUGCUUACAUAAAUAUAGCAUGCUACUACAUCUUUGGUGUUCCUUUGGGGCUCACUUUGGGAUUUGUAGCCAAGUGGGGUGUAAAGGUUGAUACACAAUUACUAAUCCUUGUCUUACUACAUCAUGCAUUAUUGUUUGUAUCAUAUUUACUUAAAUUAUAUUUGAUUGGGCACUUUGGCAUUAAAGCUUUGGACCAAUCCAUCAUUUUCAACUGGUCAUCUUUAUUUUAGCCAAAUCCCAACAAAAACAUGUGACAUAAAUUUGAUUUGUAUACUAAAUCUUGCAAAAAAUGUAGGGUAUAUGGGUAGGCAUGUUGACGGGAACCGUGGUACAGACUUUGAUCUUAAUUUGGAUUUGCUUCCGAACCAACUGGGAAAAAGAGGUAUUUUUCUACAUGCCCAAUCGUUUGUUAGAAUUUUUUUUUAUAAUCAUCUAAUUAGUUUUUAAGCAUGAUCCUUGCUUUAAUUUUGAAAUUUAAUGCGAUUUAUUGAUGGAAAUUACAGGCAUCCAUGGCCGAAAAGAGAAUAAAAAACUGGUCGGGUCAAAAAGCUUUGGAGGGAGAGCAAUAAAAUGUACAAUGAAGUUUGUUUGAUCUAAAUUUUGAUCCCAAUCUCUGUGCAAUUGCUCAUUUAAUUAAUAUCUCUAUCCCAUAUGAUAAUUAUUUCAUGAAAAUAGCAUCAAACACAAUCAUGAUAUCCAAAUCUGAUGUACGAUUGGUGUUUUAAUGGUAACUGAUUUUUCAGAUUGCAUUAGGAACCUACUAAGUAUAUAAGGUUAUAUAAGGUAGUGGUUGGUGGACCGGACAAAACAAAAAAAAAAAUUAUAUCACAAUUUGGUAAAAAUUUAGUCAUGGCGGGACAAAAUAGAUAUACAAAAAAUCCCCAAAGUGAGAUGGAGUAUCCUCACCGCAUGAUGCGAUAGGAUGACAUGAGAGUGUCCACAGGGGGAGGGGGUGUAGGAACAGCAUCAGGCUAUGGGGUGUGGGUGUGAUCUUUACCGCACUUUUUGCCACAUAGGCACGGGAACACCGCCCCCUGACUGCGGUUUGGUGCGGUUUAGACCGCAGUGCGGUACUCCAUUGCUGCACUUUCACACUCUCUCUUCUCUUUCAACCAAUCAUAUUUUUUUCUUUUUUUCUUUUUCUCUCUCUUUACAAUAAUCUCAUUCUCUUGGUGUGGCAUGGAACCGUACUUGUAUGGUAAAAAGUGAUGUGGCGUUUAUGUGGCGGGGGAGGGAGUGCGGUUUCGGUGGCACCACUCCCUCCAGCCUCAUUGUACUUCUGGUGUGUGACAUCCACCGUGUUAGAACCAUUCACUAUACCAUCACAUCCAUUUAACACGUCAAAAAUUUUAAAAUUAAUUUCUUUUUUAACCAUUUGACCACUUCAAGGGUCUAUUUUAUUCUUAUUUUUUUAAAUUAUUUACCAUUUUAUAGAUACCAACGUUUCUUAAUCUUUAAUUUCAUGUACUUUCUAUUUUUUCUUUCUCUUCAUUCAUUUUACAACAAAAUGGAUUCCAACAACAUCACCUUAAAUUCUAGUAGAAGGAAAUCCCAUGCUACUAGUUGAGCCACGUUAACUAGAAAUAAUUUUCUUUUCGAACCGUUGAAAUAAUGUCUUAUCGUCCCCAAUUAGACACCCAUAUUCAUUCCCUCAUUCCAAUUUCAAUAUCAAAAUGUUCAACAAUAUUACUUGAUGUCUAUGCCAAACAUUACCCCAAACAUGUUAAACAACUUCAUGGUUUUCCCGAUCAUGUUCUCUAAACCACAUCUUACGCCACAACCCCCCCCAAGCCAUAAACCCAAGCCUUCGACGAGUCGAAUGACGACCUCAUACUGGAAACUCAACUCAUGUCACCCCGAAGACAUCUUUAAGAACCAACCCCCUCCCCGGGCAAGGUAAAAGGAAAGGCAAUCCCCUCCAGCAUGGACUCUAUGGGAAGAAUACGUAUUGAUAAAAGUGUCGGUCAACAUAUCCAACGAUGUAGAGCAUGUAAAUUCAUAAUCGUCUGAUCAUCUUUGGCUACACAUUAUCAAACAAUUUCUCAAAGAAAUGGGUCGUUGUGACUACCAUACGAAACACCAAUUGACUACAAAGUUUCAAAACAUGAGCAAGAAUACUACAAAGAUGAAUGAGUUGUAUAACAACCAAAAAAGUCAAAGGAAAAAUGAACAAAGUGGUGAAGACAUUCUCAAGGAGGAGUAUGAAUUAUUUCGCGAGAGCAACAAAGGAAAGUUAUUCAAAUAUAACAAGCCUUGGAAACUUUUAGCACUUAGUGGGAAAUGAAGAAUUAUGUAGAAGAGAGAGGUUGAAGUCGUUGUAGGAAAAAUACCAAAAACGUCAUUGUAGAUAUAUGUGGAGUCUAAGAUUGUCUUUCCGAAAGAGCUCUUAUAGAAAGAGUGAGUUCCAACAUAUAUAGUCACUUAUAAGACCGUGUUGUACCGAUAUAGGAUACACCAACACUCCCCCUCAUACUCGUAGGCUCGAUGAGGAUAGAAAGGGAUGUGUUGAGCCAUGGGGGUGUAGGACGUUGACUUUGAUACCAUGUAAAUAUAUAUGGAACUCAUAUUAACUCUCUAAAAUGAUAUGCUAUUAUACAAAGUAGUCAAAAUAUACAAGUAUACUAGGCAUAAAACAAAAGACGAUUAUCAGAUUUGUCUAAAGAAAAGAGGGUUUUGAGGCAAAAAAAAAAAUGUUAUACAAAGCUCUAUGAUAUGCCAUUUUACUAGUAAAGAUUCAUAGGACGAACUCAUCAAAAGAAACAUAAUAAGACAUUCAUGUAUAGGUAAACGAGUUUAAAUAUUCCUCUUUAGCCAAAAUGAUAUAGAAUAAAUAAAUAAAUAAAAAGUUAGUGUUGUAUAUAAAAAUCCUUAAGUUUAGCAUUCAAAUUGCAAUAUACCCGAACAUCUUUUUGUUACCGUCUUCCAUUAAUUUUAUAAAUACUUUCAUUUCUUAACUUUUAGAAGUAAUUACCAUUAUGUUACUGUGCGCAUGGUAUGCCAACUGUGACGGAAUAACUGAAGUGACAUGGUGACCGGAUCGCCACAUCAGCUGGACAACGAUGGGGCAGAGAUGUACGUUCCUUGAUGGGGCCUCGUUACAUAAAUUAGGGAUCAAAAUUAUUAAGUUCAAAACAAAGAUUACUUGAAAAUGUAUAUUGGAUCAAUUUGUAGAUGAAAAUGGAUCACUUUUUUGGGAAAUUAAAGGGAAGAUGAUGGGGCUCGUUAAACUCUCUUAAAUGAUCAUUUUUCAUGCUUUUGGUGUGUAUGCUGACAGUCAGUCGUCUUUAAUGUAAAGCUAAGGGGUAUGAUCAUUUCAUCUUCAUUAGAAAAGUUUUGUCACAUCUUCGGCACGUCAUCUCUAUUAUAUGUUUACUACCAUACUACUACCUUUUGGAAAUGAUUACCACUCUACAUUAUUUAUCUUUUUAUUUAUUUUAUUUUUUGACAUUAGAUUAAAUAAAAAAACAUAGUUAUCAAACAUAAAUAAUUAUUUUACGUUACUUAAGAACCCAUUAGAUAAUAUAAUAUUAUAUUUUUUCAUAAAUGAAAGCAUUUCUAAACUCAAAUUUAAAUUAUAUUUUUUAUAAUAAACAAUUUAAAAUAUGCACCUUCAAAAAUAUAUUUUUUGUCUGUAUAAUUGGUAAGAAUCUUUUAAAAGCAAAAAAACAUAUUAAAAAUAUAUUUUUUAAAUUAUAUUGCUCCUAUCCCAUCUACCUAAUUUCACAACAUAGUAAAAAGCAAAAAAAACAGAAAGCUAAAAGUGUGAAACUUAAAAUGUUAUUUUAAUCUUAACUAGAAGGUGAUUCGGGCUUAGCCCAAAACAUUUUUUUUUUAAAAAAAAAUAGGACCAAAAGUGUCGAGUUCAACAAAAUUUAGGGGCCAUGCAUGUAAAUUGAGCCAUUUCCCUAAAAAAAUUCUUUAAGAUAUAUAAAAAAACAAAAUGGACCAAAAAUGUCAAAUUCAACAAAACCUAAAGACCAUUUAUGUAAAAUAUGUCAAUUCUCUCACAGGAAACACUAAAAAAUCUUUAAUAUGUAUAAAAAACAAAAAUGGACCAAAAUAAUCAAAUUCAACAAAACCUAAGGACCCUUUAUGUAAAAUAAAAAAAUAGGAAUCGUUUAAAGCAAAAGCGAAGCCAAAGAUUUGAAACAAAAAAGUAAAAAACAAAAACGUAGUGAAACAAUGGCAACAAGUAAAACAUUUGAGGCAAAAAAAAAACUAUAAAUUUACUGUUCAUAACUGUGUGUUAUCCUUUAAAUAUGUAUAUAUAAAUAUAUAAAUUACACAUAUUCCACCCACUUCCGCUAAGGCCAUCUCCGAUGAUAGUUUAAUGGAGAGUUGAAUAGGAAAUUUUAUCCUAUUAAACUCAAAAUCUAAAUUAUGGGUUAAUGGGAUGACAUUCAAUAGAAGGAAAAGUUAAAUCCCCAUUGAACUUUAUAUUAUCCCUCUACACACACAUAAAAUGACAUGACAAUUCAUUAAGUUGUAUGAAGAUUUAUAAAACGUAGAAUUUAAUAGAUAAAAUUGUAUAAUGAGUGAAAUAUACAUGUAACAAACCAUUAAACUUAUAUGAGUUUAAUGUAUUGGAGAUGACCUGAGACUGUGUUCACUAAUAGAUAUUUCUGUCACCUCAGCAUUUCACGCAUGAGGAUAGUUCUAUACCAGGCCUAAUGUUGUGUUAAUCCACCAUUAAUUAAUUACAAACCUCCGUUUCUAAAGCAAAAAAGUACUUAAAUGAAAAAAGAAUGAAACAUGUUUUUUCUAUUAUUGUUAACAUGUCUUGAUGAAUUUGAAAAUCACGUGUUUUAAAUGAUUCGUUCAGCUUGGAAAUAUUGUAUAUUAUGUUAUUGAUCGUUUUUAUUGUUCAAUAUCUAAAGAAGGUCUAUUUUAUGAUGCACUUUUCAUUUGGUUAAUACUAUUUGUAUAUUAUUAGUUUUAGUUUUUUGAACCUCAACGAUACCAAACUAUCAAAAUACUAGCGAAAACAGGAAUAAGUACACGCAAAAAGCAAUUAAAUAGAAAGCGUUGUAAACAAAUUACAACGUCAAAACCAAGCAAACUAAUUCGAUUGACUUGUAUAUACUGAUCCAUAAAAAAAGAUGUGACUUGUACUUCAUCAUGGAGUAAAAUACGAACAUAGCACUCGUUUAAGAAAUCAUAGAUAAUCGUAAAAUAGUAGCAUAAAUUAUAAUUAAUCAUGAAAUUAUAUAAAAAUUGAAAUCACUAUCUAUGAUAAAUUAUUCAUAUUGAAAAACACAGAUGCUCCAUUUUUUAUGAGACACUCCAAGCUUGUGACAACCACAAUUAUGAAAAUAGUAGUGAGGGGCAAGUCAAUAGUGAGUGUAGUUAUGAAGCUUGAGGGAGUGAUGACCUACUAAUAAGAUGACGAAACCUUCCCCUUCAGCUCCACAUACGCUUACCAUGGCAAAGUAAGAAGAGCAGGAGUGGUGUUUAUGGAUGUGUGUGUGUGUGUGAGAGAGAGAGAGGGGCAUGACUUGGGGAUGUCGAGCUCGACUAAUGCCACACACCAAGGACGGGGACGGUGUGCACCAUGUCCACCGUAACAUGUCGAACAUCAUACGAUGACCAUACCCUACAACCUAGAAUACAAGCCCCAAGAGGAUUACAACACCACAAAAGUACACUGUGAGAUCUAAGCGAACAACUAAACACCUUAUCAACUUCCAUAGAGCCCAAACAGUGUUCGAACUAACACACUGAAACAUCGGAAGGGUGACUUGUUAUGAAAAGUCUUCCCGAGUCCGAACCCAAGGAAAUCAUGAAGUAUGAGACAACACCUAAGAUAUUUUCACUUAGUUACCACCAAAUGAAAAUUUCUCUCUCUUGUUUUUCUAAAUAGUUCUCCCAAAAGCUACGAUCAUCUGUUUCAUCCACUUCAUUGUAUGUAGGAGAACACAAAGAUGGUAUAUGAAUACCUAAUGGUAUUGUUUUUCUAUAGUUGGAAGUCUCCAAUGUACCAACAUUCAAAUCAGUAAGUUUAGUUUUCAUCACAAAUAUUUGCUCCAUAAUGAGACUAAAGGAUUAUGAAAUAAUUCCCUUUUUCAUUAAUCAAACUUUUUUAUAGAUAGAGUACAUAUGCUAGCAAACUAUGGAAAGUGAAUUUAUACAAUAAAAACACCCUGAAAAAUACAAGGGAAAUAUAUACAUAUGUAAUAUUUCCCGAUAGUUUGAGCGAGAGGAUAUCGAACACUAAAACUAGUCUUGAGGCUAAAACUGGUCUUAAGGCGUUGAAGGAGCUAUCGAGGUAGGUCUUCAGUGAAAAUGAUUGCAUAUUGAUGAUUAGUUGCACAUGAAGGACUCACGUUUGUCUAAUCUUAUAGAUGUGGAUGUCGAAAGCAGAGUUAUCAUGUUUCUCAGCCAAGUAAUAACUUUCAAGAUAUUACUCAACUGUUCUAAAAAAGGUCACGCUUGAUCACUAGAUUGUAUAUUAUGUUAGAAAAUAAGGGUAUUUCGAUUGCUUGGAUAACUUAGAGUUGUGAUUGUACUUCAUAUUGAAUUAUUUCAAUGGUACAAUCGAAAAUCAAUCGGAUAAAGCUUGGUUUGAUGAACAUAGAGAAUAUGAAUGUGAUGAUUCUUAUGUGUAUACCAGAAUAAUGACAAAAAACAGGCAUAUCACCCUUGUCUGAAAACUAACAUAAGAAGUUGUUAUAAAGCAGUUCCAUAACCAUCUUCAACAACCAUAAAACUGUUACAAAUUAGAAUUUCCAGCCAGGGGCUCUGCCUAUUAAACCCCGCCAGAAGUAGCCACCCCUUGAACCGAGCUACCAAUGACGCUUCCCCAGAACCCUGUGGUUUAGGGGCUUCACCUUAAAUGACAUUUUACAUUGUAUCUGAAUAAACUCAAACACGUGUGCACUCCACACUUCCCUUACUUGUUCAAUAUUUAUCAAAAUUGCAUUUGUCAACAAAUUAAUCUCAUUACAAUUAAAGAGCAUUGAUAACACAAAUCACUAACAAAGCUCCCCAUUUAAGUGUAAUCUUGAUUAACUUAAAGUAAAAUCAUAAAAAACAACAAACUGAUGCAUAAAUGAAAUGUCAUGACGAUUGAAUUUCCCAAUAGUAUAUUACUCAUUCCAAAUAUUCGAAUAUUAGGGUUUCACUAAGGAUUGAACCUUUUCUAUUCAUAGUGAAUACAUGAAGAUAACACACACAACAAUUUACAUACUCAUAAGUUCUAACUUGACACUAUAUUUUACUAGCUUGUGUCCAAUCCUUCAAUAAGCAUAUGAAAGUGAAGUCCCAAACUUCUUGAAGCAUCUAAACUUCAUGCUUAUAUAGGUAGUCUUUUUAUUCUUGCACAUGCAAAUGCAAUUUUUGAAAGAACUAUUAAGAAAUAAAUUUCAACCUCCUUUACUUGAAGUACUGAACACAUACCCAAGGAUGAUGUUGAUGGUGUGUUCCAAUCUUCAAAUAUCAAGAUUUUGAUGGGUUUUACAUGUAUUAACGUGGAUAAAUCCUUAACACUUAAGGGUACAUGCAACCUAUUAGAUCUAUGUCAUAACACUAUUGAAGUAACAUUCUAUUGAACAACAAGAAACCUAUGAACCCUAGGUUUUUUCGAAAUUGAAAAACAAGUUAAGAAUUACAUACCCUUUUGAUUGUUGUAGUAAACAAUCAAAAAAUCAUUUCUUCUUUGAUUUGGAAGCUAGCACUACAAGUGUCGUGCCUCUAAUGGUUCACACCUAAACCCUAGCAACCAAGAAAACUUGAAGAGUGAGAGAGAGAGAGAAAGAGAGAGAGAGAGAGGGAGAAAAUUAGAAGAAGAACAAUUUUUGGAAUUCUCUUCUUGGUAUGAGGUGCAAAACGAAAAUCAAACCCAAGAGGGGUUUAUAUAGGUGAUAGGAAUGUAACACUUUAAAUUUCAAAACAAAUUUUUUCGUUUUAAAUCACAUAAAACUCAAUAUCACUUUUUUCUCAAAACCACAUUGUAUCAAUUGUCAAAAACACAAAUCAACAAAACAACUGAUAAUAUCCCAGAAUCCUCAAACAUAAUCUCAAAUAGAUGUGUACAAUCAAGCUGGCGCCUUCUCGCGAUCUUGAGAGGUAUCUGAAACACAUAUCACACAACACGGUAAGCACGAAGCUUAGUGAGUCCACCAAAAUACGACAUACACAAAUAAUAAGCCUCUCAUAGCUAUAGCUUGGCAUGGACCCUCCGGUCAUGCAUCUCGGUGAGGACCCUCCGGUCAUGUGUCUCAGUGAAGACCCUCUGGUCUCACAGAUCUGGUUGGACACUCCAGUCCUGUAUCUCGGUGAAGACCCUUCGGUCUCACAACUCGGUUUAGACCCUCCGGUCCUAACUCAGUAAGGCACAAAAUAAUAUAGCAUAUAUCACAAAGACAAAAUGCAUAAUAUCACAUAACUCAGUAUAAGCACAUAGGACCCUCCAGUCGAUAACUCAAAUAAGACCCUUCGGUCACACAAUAUUACCGCUCAGGUAAGUAUAGUGAGAAGACUCACCUCGUAAGUAAACAAGUAGAUCUAGUACCCCACGAACACUCUAGACUCCGCCUACAUAAUAUAAUUAUCUCUAAUAAGCAAUUUGUAAUAACCACUCCGAGAUGUUAAGCUAACUCCUCCACUAAAUCUCAAAAAGGGUGAAAAGACCAUUUUACCAUUCCAUGGUCUCCAAGAUCCACAGUUGACCAAACCCUAAAAGUCAAUGUAAGUCAAUGCCUAAGUCAACAGUCCAUGUUGACUAAACUCGUCGAGUGCAUCUAUGUGACUCGUCGAGUUCCUUCGUUUCCUCUGAAGUAUCGGGAAAAUCCACUCAACUCGUCGAGUUGUAGCGCGUCCAGUCUAUCGGGGAAAACCCUAGCUGACUCCUCGAGUUGGCUCAUGCACUCGUCGAUUCCCUCUAGACCAAUUCUCAUUCAGAGGAUUCUAAGCAGAAAUAAUGUCCCAAACUCUAGAUCUAGCCUCCCAAGGCUGAAAUACCACGUAAAGCUGCAAGCUUUACGUCCAUGCAUGGCAUCUAGGGCUCGAAAUGCCAAAACAAGCUCUAUAUGGGGUUUAAUGCAUAAAAUCUUGCCACUAGCUUGAUAAAUCUUGGAUCUUUGGGCUAGAGGGACCUCAUAUUGUCCAGAUCCGAAGUCUCAACUCCAUGGCAAGCUCAAACAACUCUGGAAUUCAAAGAAGGAUGGAAAAAAGCCCUAAGCCCCUAGAAAACAGAUCUAACCAAAUAAUGAUCAAGGUGGUAACUUUUUACCUUCAAACAGAAGCUAGGACUGAAUGAACACCGGAUCCAAAAGCUCCCUCUCCUCCCAAGCCUUUUGAUCCACAAUCGUCCUCCAAAAAUGCACUAAAAUAUGCAAUGUUAGCCUCUCUUUCUCUCACACAAGGAUAUAGCUCGAUUAGGGUUUCUCUCAAAGUGUUAAGAUGAUAAGGGAGGCGGAAAUGAAGGCUUAAGGUCCUUUAAAUAGGACACAAAUCCUGAAAAUUAGGUUUUUCUCGCUCAGCUCCUACUCGUCGAGUUGGGGUCCUCCAACUCGUCGAGUAGACUCUAAAAAUCACAUGUCCAUUAACUCAUUUACUCGGCAAGUUGGGGCAUCCAACUCGUCGAGUUGCUCUAAUAUCAUGAAUGCAAAUUAAUUAAAUCUUAUACCUGAGAGUCGGGAUGUUACAAGGAAGGUAUUGGGUAAGGCAGGUAUCUCCAAGAUAACCCUAAUCCCUUAACUUCCUCCCUAAGGCAUCCAAGGCUCCUUAAGGCCCAAGGAAAACCCUAGAACCUCUUCUAGAAUUCGUCCCCCUCUAUGGAAGGUUCUAGAAUUGGUCAAUGUUCAAAUUUUGAACAUUGUCACCUUUAGUCCUUCUACUUUUAAUUAAUCCAACUAAUCCAAAAAUUAAUUCCAAUUAAUUUCCGAUCAAUUCUUAAUUAAAUAAAAAUAUUUCUAAUUAAUAUAUUAUUCUCAUAAUAUAUUAACAAAUCAUUUAUUUUGAUUUCUAAUUAAUUUGUUAAUCAUAUAAUAAAUGAAUAAAUCAGUUUCUCUCACACUAAAAGUUAUCCUAUUCAAUUACCUGGUUUGAGGGCAACCCAAAAGGACCGUGCUACCAUCAAUUCAAGUAUAUGCCAAUUAUAGUAAUGGACUUAUACACCUAAUCCAACAGUCUCCCACUUGGAUAAGUCUAUAACUAUAAUUGUCAGUAAACUUCUGAACCGAUUAACAAAUUGUAGCUUCCAAAAGUCGUUGUCGAACUCUGACCCAGUCAGUUACAUGUCCUAAGAUAAGUGAUCAAAUAUUCCUUCGUUAUUGUAAUAUCCCAAAUUUCGAGUCCAAAAAUUUCGUUUUUAAUUAAGUAGUUUAUAAAAUCUUUUACUAAAAACAUUGUCGAUAUCAUAUCAAUCCAUAAACCAUCAUGAACAUGUCCCAAAAUCAAAACAUAGAACAGUAAUAAAAUCAGAGAACAAUCCCAUGAAUCACACAAUGCGGGAAUAUGAUGUGCAUGUGAUGUGCAGCUACCGCGCCGACUCCUUCCCCUUCGCUGAAAAGGUACCUGAAAUUAAAAUUGAAAACUGUAAGCACGGAGCUUAGUAAGUUCCCUUAUCAUACCACGUACUAUACAAAUCACAUACUGCCAGGCAUAUCUAGGUUCCCGGCCUACCCUAUCAGGGAUAUCUGGGUGGCCGACCUAAACCUUACAAGGGUCAACCCAAAUCCAAGUCACAAUCAAGGUCAACCUGGUCAAAGUUAACUUUUGAUUGACUCGACUCGCCGAGUUGGUCCACCAACUCGCCGAGUCCCAUCGUCCCCUUACUGCCAUAAUCUCGUCCUUACUCGUCGAGAUCAGCAAGAGCUUGACGAGUUCACCUUCAACAACAACUUUUAACUAUCUUCAACUGACUCGAUGAGUUCAUCAUCAUCCGAAUGAAUGAGUCUAGCCUCUGACUCACCGAGUUCUCCAUGAACUCGUCGAGUCCGUCUUCAUGAGGUUGGGACAUUGCCUUGGGCUCAUCGAGUCUGCUCAUACACUCGCCGAGUCCUAUGAUUUCCAGGUCUAAAACAAACCCCUAGCAGGCUGAGUGUUCCUUCCACUCAACCAAAACCAUUUCCAAAAGACGAUUUGGGGGAAAAAGUGUCCCGACUCGCCGAGUCACCCAAGUGACUCAUCGAGUCCCUCUUUGUCCAAAACUAUAUAGUCAAUUAUAAUGGGUCUUAACGCAUCAAAACUACAGAUCUAGCCUCCUAGGGUCCCUUUUUCACGUAAAGCUACAAACUUGAUGUCCAUGUAUGGGGCUUUUGGCUCAAAAAUCCAUAAAAGGGGGUUUAUAUGAAGCAUGGGUCUCCCUUGACCAUCAAGUUGGCACCUUUAUGGCAUGGGAACCCUCAAUGGUUCCAAAUCUGAAGUCCUUAUCCCAAAAUCGUGGUUGCAUCCAAAAAUGGCUCCAAAAUGGCAUCCAAGAACCCUAAGUUACUCCAAAAAGAGUAUCUAAUGAAAGGAGCAGCAAGGUCAUGACUUUUUACCUCCAACAAACAGGAAAUGAAGAAAAAUCUUUAGAUCUCCUUGCUCCUUCUGAAAUCCCAAGCUCCUUCUUCUUUUCUUCAACCUUCUAACUUGCACAAAAUGGCUCAAAGAGCUCAAAAUCACUCAAAAACGAUUAGGGUUUCAUGGGGAUGGUCUGAGGGUGUUGGAGCAUGCAAAGGAACCACUUAAGGUGUUUAAAUAAGAUGCAAACCCUAAAUAUUAGGGUUUUGUCUAGAUAGCUCCUACUCGUCGAUUCGGUCUCCCGACUCGUCGAGUAGGUUACUUAAAAUCCGUGCAUAAUGUCGAGUCUACUUGAUGAGUCGGGCCUUCAACUCGCCGAGUCCCAGAGAAAAAUUGUGACAACCCGAAAUUUCCAUUCUGAACAAACCAUAUCAAGCCAAUAGAUGUAGAUCAGUUACAAUGUAAACUCAGAUUUCGAGUAUAAGUUUGGCAGUUUUCAGGAUUUUACACUUAAGGAGAUAUUAGGAGAGUGGAUGCACUAGGGUUUUGUGAAACACUAUUAUUCCAAGACUCUAGGACUUUAGAUUUCGUUCCAGGAAUAAAAAUAUUUUCUGCCAAAAAUAUUUCAGGACUAUAAAUAGAUUUCUGAACUAAAUUCAUUCAUUAUUCACAAUUCCAACUAAAGAAAAUCCAAAUUCUCUCUCACGGAUCUUCGGGUUUUUCUCCCAAAUCGUGAGUACACUUCUCUAGUUGUGUUUUAAUGCUUGUUUUAUGCCUAUUAACAUAAAUUGUAGGUCAAAUAUAAGAGAUCCGGGAGUUUACCGCCCAAGAACGUUCUUGGGGAGUAAACUCCAUUUUAAGGUCCUUAAGGGUUCAAAUGACCCUCAAGGAUUUACAACUCGAACUAGGAGCCUCCAAUUCAUGCCUUACACCACAAAACAUUUAGGAAUCAUGGUUAGAAGGGAGUUUACGACCAAGGAGCUUCUUAGGCCGUAAACUCCAUGUUUUAGGUGCCAAAAUGCUUUGAAACACUACCUAAGGCUUGGACUCUAUUUUAGAAAAAUACCCUAAAGUGUUUAGUACCUAGAAAACAUAAGAAAGCACAAGUGUUGAAGAGUUUAUGGCCAAGAGUGGUUCUUGGGCCAUAAACUCCUUUAAAGGGGUCAAAGGACACCCUAAACCCUUCCUUAAGCCAAGAGGCAAUUUGGGCAUGUACCUAAAUGAGAUAUGGACUAGUUAAAACACUUAGAACCCCAUGAGUGAGGGAGUUUACGGCCCAAAAGGUUCCAGGGCCGUAAACUCCAUAAAAUGGUGCCAAAUGUGCCAUAAACUCUUCUAAAGCCAAGUACCAAAACCUAGAUUUGUUCCUAGCUAAUUUAGAGGUUAGAAAGCACCAUAUAAACCCUACCAAGGGAGUUUACGGCCGUAAACUCCAAGGGAAUAUGGUCUAUGGGCCGUAAACUCCCCAAAGGAGUUCAUAUGGUACCCAAACACUUGUAUAGCCUUGAAACAAUUCCCCACUAGAGUUGUAGUAAUUCUAAGCUUUAAUUAGGGACCUUAAGGAGAGUUUACGGCCAGGAGUUUACUCCCCUGGGCCAUAAACUCCAAAUCAUAUGGUCAUUUGACCAUAAACUUCCAUUAGGGGCAUUGCACUCCUUUGUUGCAACCCAUUAGCCUCCUAGCACUUGACCAAAAGUGUUUUCCUCGCGCUUAAAUGUUAUUACUUGUAUAAUUAGUGUUAUAAUCACUAAUUAUUUAUAUACAUAUGUUUUCAUAUGUAAUUAGGAUCAUUGUGUGUGUCUAAGUCUUCACUUGACACCAAGCACUUGUCCGAUCCUUCCGUACGAUAACAGUCCGUUCAAUUCCAGUCACUUACUGCAGGUGAGUUCAUACCCCUUAACUAAUGUUUUAAACUAUUUUUAAAUGUUUUAUGGGGGGGAUACAAGUAGAAUCAUGCUAGUUAUUAUAUCAAUCACAUGUGAUUAAUAAGUAGAAUUAUGCUAGUUAUUACGUCAAUCACAUGUGAUUAAUAUACAACAUUCAAAUGAUUUGGCUACUCAUUAGCCGUUUUACCAAAUAGUUUCCUUCAAAUGAUUUUUAUAAACAUUUUAUAUGUUUUAAACUCCUUAUUUCACUGUACAUCUUACUCUGUACAUUACCUUUCAAACUUAUUUACAACUGUGUUUCAAACAAAUAUUUCCUUAUACUUAACUGUUUUAUCAAACUUAUGCAUUCAAAUUAUUUUAUAGAUUGACAUCAAGUUGAUCUUUUCUUAAAAUAAUAUUUCUGUUUCAAAUGUCUUACAAAACUUAUUUAUGCUUUUAUAUUAUAAAUUGCACGCCUCUAUAUGUAUAGUUAUAUAAGAAAUGUUUAAAAGACUUAGGAAGGCUAUCCACCCUAUUUCCUUUUCGCGCUUGAGAUGUGGUCUGGUGGGAUAUCGGGUACUCGUCCGAAGGUCGUUUAAAUAUUAGUUAUAUAUCAUGUGUACAUAUAUAGUCAUAAAAGGUCCUUCCAGUUCAUCCCAUGCCCUUGGGUAGCAAGGGUAUACAUCCAUGUCCAUACGUACCAGUUAGAUUACUAGUAAACUACCAUAUGGGUAGUUUAGGAAGAUACUAGAACUAUUACUAGAACGCGAUAUCAUACAAUGAGUCAGUUCAUUCAUGAGUCAAUACUUUCUAGAACAUUACAGUACAUUACAUAUACAACUAUACUAGGAAGAGAACAUAUACAACUAUACUAGAACGAGAAACAUUACCCUUACAUUAAUACGUUAACAAUUGUGAUCCACUGUAUCGGAGCAUGCCUUAAAUGUCAUGGCCCGAGUUGUAGCCAGAAUUCUCUUGGAGGGAGAGCGUGAGUUUGCGUAUAGAUCUAUACUGGAUUGACAAUCCUACACCUUGCUGCUAGCUACAGCCGGACCUGCAGGUCUGCGGGUGCCAAACGUCAUUCCGUUAUUACGACCAUUCAUUAUGUCGUUGUUACUAGUCGAUAGUAUGGUGCAAUUUAUCACAUAAUGCCUUAAUAUAAAUCCGAUUUAAGGUAGUUAGUACGGCAGUAGUUCUUAUAGCACUACACCAUAGUACUAUUUCUUUUUCCCAUUACAUUCACCUCGUGAACAUUCACACGACGCACGGAAAUGUAGAAACUAUAUUUUUGGAUAAUGAUAGUUAUACUUGGGAAAAUACAUACUCUUACAAGAGACACACAUUCAGAACAGUUAGGUCUUGGUAGAAGACUACAUUCAGAACAGUUAGGUCUUGGUAGAAGACACCUUCAUAUACUAGUAGGAAUCAUAGGGAUUCUAGGGUUUUUCAAACACUUACAGUUCAUAUACACUUUCAAUACUUACAAUACAUAGACUUACAAAUUUUUACAUACAAAUACUUACAUACAAAUUAAGACACUAAAUACUUAUGAUCUCACCAGCUUCAAAGCUGAUACUCGCUUUCAAAAUUACUUGUAUCCUCAGGUCAUCAUAGACAGGUACCGAUGCAAGGAGAAAGGAAGAUGGAGCUUGUCCAAGACUUAUCUUUCAUUUUGAUUUAUGCUUUAGUGUUUAUCAAAAUUUGACAGAACACAUUUCUAUAAUAAUUAUAUUAUUAAUGCAAUGGAUGAUGUUGUUGCUUGUUUACUACUUUACAUUGUUGUUGAUAUAAUACAUGACGUCCUCCGCCCCAGAAAGUUUCCGCCGUUCCUGGUUUUGGGGUGUGACAAAAAUACAAUAAUACUUGGAAUUAAAUACGUACCAGGAACCGAGUGUUACAAAUCUCCCCCACUUUUAGACUUCAUCCUCGAAGUCUGCUGCUGGAUCCGAAAAAAGCUCGGGGUGGUGCUCUCUCAUCUCAUCCUACGGCUCCUAGGUCCAUUCCGAGCCCUUGGUGGUGCUACCAUUACACCUUCAUAAGUUCCACCCUCUUGUUUCUCAGAUCCUUCUACUUCCUGUUGAGGAUAGCUACUGGCCGCUCAAUGUAGUUCAGGUUGUCAUACACCUGAAUAUCCUCCAAAGGCACCACUAUUGAAUCGUCUACCAGACACUUCCGCAACUGGGAGACGUGAAAAGUACUGUGAAUCUGGCUGAGUUCAGCCUUAACCUUCUUGCAGGCCAGUCAUCUCUCAACGAACCAAGCUACAUACCUCUUCGUGCAGGGCCACCAAUAAUCAAGAUGAAGAUCCCUAUACAUCUUCGUCGCCCUAGGCUGAACAGAAAACUUGGAUUUGUGCGCCUCCUCCAUCAAUACCUGGCACACACCUCCAUGAUAUGGGACCCACACUCUACCGUGUAGCGUCAACAAUCCACGACUGUCAUAAUCGAAGGAGGAAACUUGGCCCACAAUGUGCUCACUCUUACGAUGUUCCUCCUUCAUAGCCUCCUGUCGGGCCUCUCGAAUCCGCUCCAACAGCGGACUCCACCGUCAUCCUCAAGCAAAUAUCUCUAAUCGGCGCUGCCUUGCGGCUAAGCGCAUCGGCCACCGACGCUGCCUCAUGUUCAGAUUCGGCUGAUCCAUAAGGUACCUCAAACUCUUAUGGUCUAUAUAGAUGGUACAACGGACCCCAAUGAGGUAAUGAUGCCAAAUCCUGAGGGCAAAAACAACUGCCCCCAACUCUAAGUCGUGCGUCGGAUAGUUUUCCUCAUGAGGCUUCAGCUGCCUGGAAGCGUAGGCAAUAACAUGCCCCCUCUGCAUCAAUACCGCGCUCAAACCUGAGAUGGACGCAUCGAAGUACAGAACAAAAUCCUCCAUGCCCUCUGGUAGGCCUUAGAAUGGCGCCUCACAAAAUCUCCGUCUCAGCGUCUCGAAUGCGACCUGCUGCUCAGGCCCCCAACAAAAUACAACGGUUUUCUUCGUCAACUAGGUCAAGGGUACGACUAUUUUGGAGAAAUCCUGGAUGAAUCUCCGAUAGUAGCCGGAUAAUCCUAGGAAAUUCCGAAUCUCAGAUGGAGACUUCGGAACCUCCCAUCUCAUCACGGCCUCCACCUUGGCCGGGUCAACCAAAAUCUCAUUCUGGUUGACAAGGUGCCUAAGAAAUUGCACCUCGUGCAACCAGAACUCGCACUUGGAGAACUUGGCAUAUAAGCUCUCCCUCCUCAGGGUAUCCAACACCUCUCGUAAGUGCUCCUCAUGUUGCUCCUGUGUCUUGGAAUAAACCAAGAUGUCGUCAAUGAAAACUAUCACAGACCAAUCCAGCAUCGAUCUGCACACGUGGUUCAUGAGGUCCAUGAACGCGGCAGGAGCAUUGGUGAGCCCAAAAGGCAUCACCACAAACUCAUAAUGACCAUAUCGUGUCUGAAACUCAGUCUUCUGCACAUCCUCCUCUCGGACUCUCAUCUAAUGGUAGCCCGAACGCAGAUCGAUCUUGGAGAACCAAGAUUAUCCCUGAAGCUGAUCAAAUAAGUCAUUUAUCCUCGGAAGUGGGUAAUGGUUCUUCACCGUUACCUUAUUCUUCUCUCGGUAGUCUAUACACAUCUGAUGCGACUCGUCCUUCUUUUUCACGAAUAGUGUCGAGGCUCCCCUGGGAGAACUGCUCGGUCUGAUGAACCCCUUGUCUAAUAGCUCCUGCAGCUAUGUAGACAACUCCUGCAUCUCAGGAAGAGCCAAUCGAUACAGUUCCUUGGCUAUUGGAGCCACACCAGGGACCAGGUCGAUCCUGAACUCCACUUGCCUCUGGAGGUAUCCCAUGCAGCUCCUCUGGAAACACAUCCACGUACUCUCAUACCACUGGUACAUCACUCACCGUCGCCUGAACCGCCUCUCGGGUAUCCAAAACAUAGGCGACAUACCCUGUGCAACCCUGCUGAAGGUAGCGCCUAGCCCUCGCUACUGAGCAUAAUGUCGGUCCACGCUAUGGCCUCUCGCCCUAGAUCACCAGCUCUCCCCCACCUAGGGUCCUAACUCUCACUAAUUGUUGUGCGCAGUCUAUCACUGCCCCAUUGGGGCUCAGCCAAUCCAUUCCUAUAAUCACCAUGUUCCCCCACAACGGGAUGCGAACCAAGUCUACCAAAUAAUGCUCCUCGAACAACCUUAAAACAAAAUCCCUGAAACCCUCUGAUUCUUGCACUGAUCGAUUGUCCGCAAUCUCGACCUCUAAGGGGCAAUCAAACUUUCCCGAAGCCUCAGGGAACCUCCUGCUAAGCGCAAGAGAGACAAAUGAUCGGGUAGCACCCGAAUCAAACAACACCUGAACUGGGAUAUCGUUCACAUGGAAUGAUCCUAAACAAAACAUAUAGCAUGGCACUUCAAUAUCAUAAGCAACAUAAAAUAAAAGCUAGGGAGAAGAAAUCAUACCCGUCACCACAUCAGGUGCGACGCGUGCCUCCUUGGUAGUCAACUGGAAGGCUCGGCUCCUUGCCACUAAAGCCUCGGUCUUGCCCUGCCGGCCAUUAGUGAUUCGCAAGGUCGCUAGAGCUGGCGCCACCACUGGUGCUGCUGCUGCUGUCAAUCUCGGGCAGUUGGCCUUUUUAUGGCCUCGCUGGUUGCAGUGGAAACAUAGCAACUCUGAUGUCUGAAUAGCGGGCGCGGGGGCGGUACAAUCCCUGCUAAAGUGCCCCGUCUUUCCGCAUUUAUAGCAGCCCGAUGACCCUAGUCUACAUGCCCCCUUAUGUGGCUUGUCGCACUUCCCACAACGGCUCCGGCCCUGAAGGCCCUUCGAAUUAGCGUCGAAUCCCUUGGGUUUUCUUCCCCGAAACCCCAGUACCCUGCUCAGUCUCCGUCAUCCUCUGCCAGAGGAGCUCUAUAUCGAUCUCCCUCUCCCUUUCCCUGGAAAUCAUGGACUCCAGGGUCGGGCACGCUGAGUAACUGACAUGCUCCCUGAUAUCAGCUCUCAACAUAUUUAUUUUGUGUUUCAAUUGGUAUGUUUUACUUCCCGAAUAAUUAGAUUGUUCAAACGUCUACAUUCGAUUAUACUUUUGGAAGUAAGUAGUGAAUCAAUACUAUCAUGAAUUGAAUUGUAGAUUGUCUAAAGGGUUUUAAGUAUUGGAUUAACCCACGCUCAGAGAGUUACUUCAUGGAAUUUAUCAUGAGUAAUUCUGAGAUGAUAAUAUCUUAUAAUCUUUAAAUGGAGAUAUAUGAGUUAUUGUUUACAAGUUGGUUGUGCAUUGAUGAUACGUAAACGCAUUUGUAACUUGAUGUUAUAAAAUGUAUUGUUGCACAUGAUUUGAUGAGUAAAUAGUACAAGCAUAUAAGUCAAAGGUUAUAUGUUCCUUUUUAUCCUUGGGGAGAAAAAGCGAUAUCUUCGGGCCCCUCGAUGAUUUGGUGUUGACUUAUAGUUUCGGGCCCGGCCAGGACAAAGUUGACGUGUUCGAUUAGUAGUUCUUUGUUAUUACAAAUCCAAAAUUGGGAAACAAAGUAUUGGACAUGUGUGACAUCCCCAAUUUCACGGCCAGAAAAGACCGAUUUGUUUAUGCUUUGUUUUAUAAAUCAGAGUGAUCGUUUAAAGAAAACGGUUGCGGAAUUUGUUCCCAAAAUAAAAUAUGAUAACCAUUUAUCAAAACAUUUCUCGAAAAGAAUGUAUUUUCAUUAAAUAAUAAAACCUCGGGAUGUCAUGUUCGUUACAGACCAAAAGCAUAAACAAUAUAAAAUAGAUCUUACAAUAGUUAUUUAUAACUACUGAUCUAUAAUCCCAAAAUCUCUCGUCAAGUCCACCAACUUAUACCCUUGUGCCAUUACCUGUAAUGAAAAGAAAACUGAGUGGGUCAGGCUUGGGAGCCUGGUGAGCAUAUAGGGUUUUCAACCCACAAUAAUAUAAUUAUUAUAUUUAAUCAGCAAACAAUCAACCCAAUUACCCAUCCCCAUUAUCUUCUUAAGGUUUUACCCUAAGAACCAACUAUCCUUCAUUCAUUUAUUCGUAAGGAAUUGGCACGAAUUCCAUUGCUACCAAAGUUUAUUUAUCAAGUACUAAAUCCAUAGUUAUCUGGCGCUAACUCCAUAGUCACCAAGGUUCACUUAACAAGCGCUAACUCCAUAGUCGCCAAGGCUUACUCAACAAGCGCUAACUCCAUAGUCGCCAAGGUUCAUCAAAUAGGCACGAAGUCACAUCGUCGCCAAGGUUUAUGCAAUAGGCGCUAACUCCAUAGUCACCAAGGUUUAUACAAAAGGCGCUAACUCCAUAGUCACCAAGGUUUACCUAAUAAUAGGCGCUAACUCCAUAGUCACCAAGGUUUAUCUAACAGCAGGCGCUAACUCCAUAGUCACCAAGGUUUAUCUAACAGCAGGCGCUAACUCCAUAGUCACCAACUAACCCAUCUACCCAUGUUCUACCCAACAAUAUUAGUAGAUAAAAAUAUACAUUUGUAUACGUAGUUUAAAGAAAACCUGUAUAGCAUGCUUUAAUCAACACAUAUGUCACAUAACAGAUGAGACACACACACAUAACACAUAUCUCAUAAAGAAAUAAGCAGAUCUAUAAGAUAGAAGAGAGUGAAUACUCAUUCACACAUAACACAACCAAAUAUAUACACAUAGCACGUAUUUUUAUAUAAAAUACUUCGUAUUAUUGUAUUAGAAGAAAUAACUACACACUCACUUGAUCAGAAGACGAUCCGACAGCACUACGGCUUAUAGAAGUAGUAUUCCUCAGCAGAUCUGGAAGAUCUCCUCGAAAAUCAAACUUCUCGCGGGCAGAGCUUCGACUCGGGAACCGCACUUUUCGGGAUCUUCGGGAUCUCGGGACUUGCCUCGGGGCUAGGGUAUAAUACCGGGGCUUCGGGGUAUUUCUGGCACGCAAAACGAUGCAAAACGGGAGAGAGAAGAGAAGAAAUUGGCAAUUGGGUCGGCUGCCCUCGCAUCCUAUUUAUAGGAGGCUGGAGCCUCGGAGUACGCGGGGCGUACGCCAGUACGCGGGGCGUACUGGUCCGAAAAACGUCACUGCGUGCGUCAUCCGAAGCCACUUGCUGCGAAUGUCGACACUUCGGAGUACGCGGGGCGUACUCGAGUACGCGGCGCGUACCUCGGAUCAGACCGGUGACUCCUUCGGAUAAUGCUUCCGAAUUUCCUUUUAAAUUUAAAUACAAAUUGAUUAAUAAACUUCGGAAAUUCAUAUCUUCUUCAUACGAACUCCGUUUUCGACGUUCUUUAUAUCCACGCGAAGGUGAGACUACGCUCUACAACUUUCGUUUAGACUCCGUCGGCUAAUUUUGACUUUUAUUUUUAUUAUUUAUUUUUAAUAGGCCGCGACAGAAAACUUCGUUAUAAAUUCAUAACUUCUUCGUUUGACGUCCGUUCUCGCCUAACUUUUUAUCGCUUCGAUACCAACAACGAGAUCUUCGAUUCUCGUUUAGAUUGCUAAGGCUAAAUAUCGCUCUAACGUAAAUUCACUUUUUACGUCGCGCUGUGUCGUGCCGGUUCUGUCGCGAAACUUCGACAGGUCAUAACUUCUUCGUUAUAACUCGGAUUUUGGCGUUCUUUAUAUGUACGGAAACCUUGUAACAUAUACUACAACUUAGUUAGGAUUAUUCAUCCUAAAUAAUCUUCUAUCAAAAAGUCAUUUUUGACUCUUAUUGUCUCUAAAUUGACUAGCCCUGAUCUACGGGCGUUACAAUUAUCUCCCCCUUAGGAUGAUUACGUCCCGGAAUCAUCAACGAAAUAGGAUUCGCAUACUGACUCCAUAAGUUAUCUCUCCAUUCUAAGUAAUAACCCUGAUGGGUCGUGUCCCGAUGACCUCUCAUCAUAGUCGGACUCAAUUGAUAUGACCCCUAGGGUCGGAAUAACAACUAUCUUACUAGACAUUACCGAAACAAUGGUAAUGACAUACUUGAAUAAAACGGAAUCAAUUACUAGCUUCUUGAUAACCUUGUGACUUCCCCUGAUCCAAGCGUGAGUCCUGUGCUUCCGGUAGUAUAGAUCUCUACUACCAUUCACACCUACUCAUACUCGUCCCAAGUAUUGUCUCGCAGUUAACCAAGUCACCAUACAUAAAUCAUAUAAUCAUUCAACACAUCAGAUAACAAAACCAGGAUUUAUAUUAAUUCUUGAAACUAUUACACAAAAGUUCAAGUUCACCCUAUACUAUGCCUCUAACAGGCUAUGCUUCCUGAUACAGACUUUACCGACUUUAUAUAUUAAUAUGAAGUCUUCAUCCUUUAAUCCUCCCAUCCCUUUCUGCUUCGUUGAGGAACAUGUUGAAUGCCCUUGGCUGUGGAGGUGUGUUUUUCUGUGGGCAGUCUUUAGAAAUAUGACCUUCUUCAUUACACCUAUAGCACAUCUUCUUGAUAGGUGCGCACUUGUUGGCGUAGUGCCCUGUCUUCCCACAUUUGUAGCAAGUCAUCUCCUCGCUACAUUUCCCGAAGUGUUUCUUCUUACACUUCUCACACCACUUAGCUUCAUCUCUUCCCCCAGAUUUCGAGAAUUUACUUUCUUUGUCGAUUAUUGAAGAUCCUUCACGCUUCCUUUUCUCUCCAACUUCAGCCCUUUCCAGACCCUUUUCUUUUAUUUGGGUCUCAACAUUUUUGGCUGCCCAGAUGGCGGCUUUCAGAGUGGUUGCUUGCUUGACUAUCGGACCAAAGUCCGCUGGUAAUCCAUUGGCAAACUUGUUGACCUUGGAAAGUUCAGUUGGAAUUAGGUAUGGAAUAAGCUUCAUCUUCUCCGUAAAGCUCGUAGCGUAUUCAGUAACGCUCAAUUUUCCUUUCUUCAGAUUCUGGAACUCAUUGUUGAUUUCCAGAAGAUCUUGCUCAGAGCAGUAUUGCAAUUUCAGUUGCACCACGAAUUCUUCCCAAGACAUCUUGCUAGCUUCCCCCUUGGGCAUCGAACCAGCCAGUAACUUCCACCAGCUCAAUACUCCAGAUUUUAACAGAGGGAUUGCAAGAGCGGUCUUCUGUCUGUUGCUACACUCGCAACUUUCAAACAUUGUCUCCAUUUCGGAGAUCCAGUCCAUGACUUGCACCGGUGUCGGGCUCCCAGAAAGACAUGGUGGUUUGGAUGCCAUGAAAUCCUUGUACUUGCAUCCACGUCCGUCAUUUCCUCCAUCCUGGUUGUUUUGGCGAACUAUUGGUGGGUUGGCUUGACCAACGGUCCCACUGUAGUUUCCUCCUUCAGACUGCCCUCCAUUUACUUCGGGCUCUUCAACUUGAAUUGACAAUUCUUCGCGAUUCUGCCUGAUCAGACGUCUGGUUUCUUCCAUCUGAUUAUUCAACAUUGCCUGGAUCAUCACUUGAACUCCGGCCAUUGUCAUUGGUUCAGGCGCUGCUGCUACAACAGGUAUUUGUUCAAUCACUGGUAUUUGAUUCCUGUUUUCAUCAGCAUUUCCAACUCCACUCCUCGUUCUCACCAUUUUUGAUCUAUACACCGAAUAAGGUGAAAUUAGAUCCUUAGUCACGAUAGAUAUUCAAAUCAUCCUUAUCACUCCGAAACGUUUACAUGCUAGUUCUAAUAUCGUAGACGCACGCUUAGAAUCCUAAACACAUAAGGUUUCCAGAUCCGGUCGGCAACAGACCAUAGAUCCGAACAAUUAACAUCAUAUAUGGCAAACAUAUAACAAUUAGCACAUAAUAGCAUUUUAGGCAAUUUUCCUAAAAUAAACUAGUGCCUGUGUCAAUUUAGGUGUACUACCUAAAAUAUAAUGGACACACUCAACUCACAAUCAUUGCUUAGCAUUCAAAGUUUAAGUCUAGAAAUAAAUCCAUAUUCCUAGUUCGCUUAAACUAAUGCUCUGAUACCAACUAUGACAUCCCCAAUUUCACGGUCAGAAAAAACCGAUUUGUUUAUGCUUUGUUUUAUAAAUCAGAGUGAUCGUUUGAAGAAAACGGUUGCGAAAUUUGUUCCCAAAAUAAAACAUGAUAGCCAUUUAUCAAAACAUUUCUCGAAAAGAAUGUAUUUUCAUUAAAUAAUAAAACCUCGGGAUGUCAUGUUCGUUACAGACCAAAAGCAUAAACAAUAUAAAAUAGAUCUUACAAUAGCUAUUUAUAGUCACUGAUCUAUAAUCCCAAAAUCUCUCGUCAAGUCCACCAAUUUAUACCCUUGUGCCAUUACCUGUAAUGAAAAGAAAACUGAGCGGGUCAGGCUUGGGAGCCUGGUGAGCAUAUAGGGUUUUCAACCCACAAUAAUAUAAUUAUUAUAUUUAAUCAACAAACAAUCAACCCAAUUACCCAUCCCCAUUAUCUUCUUAAGGUUUUACCCUAAGAACCAACUAUCCUUCAUUCAUUUAUUCGUAAGGAAUUGGCACGAAUUCCAUUGCUGCCAAAGUUUAUUUAUCAAGUACUAAAUCCAUAGCUAUCUGGCGCUAACUCCAUAGUCACCAAGGUUUACUUAACAAGCGCUAACUCCAUAGUCGUCAAGGCUUACUCAAUAAGCGCUAACUCCAUAGUCACCAAGGUUUACUCAAUGUGCGCUAACUCCAUAGUCGCCAAGAUUCAUCAAAUAGGCACGAAGUCACUUCGUCGUCAAGGUUUAUACAAUAGGCGCUAACUUCAUAGUCACCAACUAUCCCAUCUACCCAAGUUCUACCCAACUUUUUCGUAGAUAUAAAUACUUACCCAGUUUAAAUCAUUUAACACUGGUAUAAAACAUCAAUUUCACGCCCAUCUCAAAUAGACAAAUAAUAUAUAAACACAGAUCACGUAUUUCAUAGCAAAUACUUCAUAUUUGUGUGUUAGAAGAACGUAACUACACACUCACGCAUAUAAACAACAAUAUACUUAAUACACUCAAACCAUACUUGUAUUAUUAUCGUGUUUAUGAAAGGUAGUAUACACUCACUUGAUCAGAAGAUGAUCAGACAGCACUACGGCUUGCAGAAGUAGUAUAUAUCCGCAGAUCUGGAAGAUCUUCACAAAAAUUGAACUUCUCGCGGGCAGAGCUUCGGCUCGGGAAUCACGCUCUUCGGGAUUCUCGGGGCUUCGGAUCUUGCUUCGGGACUCGAGAUUGAGACCGGGGCUUCGGGACACUUCGGGUACGCAAAACGGGAGAGAGAAGAGAGAAAAAUAGCAAUUGAGCCGGCUGCCCUCGCAUCCUAUUUAUAGGAGGCUGAAUCCUCGGAGUACGCGUCCGAAACGUCACUGCAUGCGUCAUUCGAAGAAUUCGAGUGCGUAGGUCGUCAUGCUUCGCUGUAUGCGGGGCGUACUUCGGAUGAGUCCGAUGACUCGCCUUCAGAUAAUACCGGGAUUUAAUAAUUAAAUUUAAUUAUUAAUUAACUAAUAAACUUCGAAAAUUCAUAUCUUCUUCAUACGAACUCCGUUUUCGACGUUCUUUAUAUCCACGCGUAGGUGAGACUACGCUCUACGACUUUCGUUUAGACUCUGUCGGCUAAUUUUGACUUUUAUUUUUAUUAUUUAUUUUUAAUAGGUCGGGACAGAAAAUUUCAUUAUAAAUUCAUAACUUCUUCGUUUGACGUCCGUUCUUGCCUAACUUUUCGUCGUCUCGCUACUAACAACAAGAUCUUCGAUUCUCGUUUAGAUCGCUAAGGCUAAAUAUCACUCUAACGUAAAUUCACUUUUUACGUCAUUCAGCGUUGUGCCGGUUCUGUCGCGAAACUUCAACAAAUCAUAACUUCUUCGUUAUAACUCGGAUUUUGGCGUUCUUUAUAUGCACGGAAACCUUGUAACAUAUACUACAACUUAGUUAGGAUUAUUCAUCCUAAAUAAUCUUCUAUCAAAAAUUCAUUUUUGACGCUUAUUGUCUCUAAAUUGACUAGCCCUGAUCUACGGGCGUUACAACAUGAGAUUGAUUAUGUUCCAUGCCUCUUAUCCGCAUGAUAUGUUGCAGAAUGGAGGAUUAUAUGAUCACUUAUCUUAGGAAACGUGAUUGAAUAGGUCAGAGUUCAACAAUAGCUUUGAGAGCUACAAUUUGCUAAUCAGUUUUUCAAGUUAUACUAGCAACUAUAGUUAUUAUACUUAUCCAGGUGGGAAACUGUUAGAUUUGGCGUCGAAGUCCAUAAAUAUAAUUGGUAUAUACUUAAAUUGAUAGUAGCACAAUCCUUUUGGGUUGUCCUUAAGACUAGCAACUAGACAGAAUGAUUUUGGAGAAAGAGGUUGAUUUAUUAUUUGAUUGAUAAAUUGAAAUAAAUAAUUUAUUAUUAUAUUAUGAAGAUAAUAUAUUAAUUAGAAAUAGUAAUAUUUAAUCAGAAAUUAAUUAGAAUUAAUUUUGGGAAUAAAGAAUUAAUUAAAAGUGCAGGGACGGAAGUGUAAUUGUUUAAUAGUUGAGAAAAAGGAAAUCUAGAACCCCCCAUAGGUUGUGGACAGUUUUUGUCACGCCCCAAAACCAAGAACGGCGGAAACGUUCUAGGACGGAGGACAUCAUGUACAGUAUCACAACAAUGAAAAGUAGUAAACAAGCAACAACAUCAUCCAUUGCAUUAAUAAUAUAAUUGUUAUACAUGUGUUCUGUCAAAUUUUGAUAAACACUAAAGCAUAAAUCAAAAUGAAAGAUGAGUCUUGAACAAGCUCCAUCUUCCUUUCUCCUUGCAUUGGUACCUGUCUAAGAUGACCUGAGGAUACAAGUAAUUUUGAAAGCGAGUAUCAGCUUUGAAGCUGGUGAGAUCAUAAGUAUUUAGUGUCUUAAUUUGUAUGUAAGAAUUUGUAAGUUUAUGUACUGUAAGUAUGAAGAUGUUCGUAAAACAACUGUAAACGUUUGAAAAACCCUAGAAAUCCCUAUGAUUCCUACUAUUAUGUAAAGAUGUCUUCUACCAAGACUUAACUGUUCUCAAUGUAGUCUUCUACCAAGACUUAACUGUUCUAUAUGUUCGUUUCUUGUAAGAGUGUGUAAUUUUCCCAAAUGUAACUAUUAUUAACAAAAUAUAGUUUGUACAUUUAUAGUUUAAGUGAAAAGAUAACUAAAUAUAUGUACAGGGAAAAUUAAUGUAGUACUAAAACGUAGCUCUAUAAGAACUACUGCUGUACUAACUACCUUAAACCGGAUUUAUAUUAAGGCAUCAUAUGAUAAAUUGCACCAUACUAUAGACUGGUAACAACGACAACGUAUAGUCGAAAAUAAGGUAUGACGUUUGGCACCCGCAGACCUGCCGGUCCUGCUGUAGCUAGCAGCAAGGUGUAGGAUAGUCAAUCCAGUAUAGAUCUAUACGCAAACUCACGCUCUCCCUCCAAGAGACUCUGGCUACAACCCGGGUCAUGACAAUUAAGGCAUGCUCCCAUACAGUGGAUCACAAUUUUAUUAGCGUAUUAAUGUAAGUGUAAUGUAACGAACUGUUCUAGCUGUAAUGUACGUGCUCCCUAUCUAGCAAGUAUAGUAAUGUACUGUAAUGUUCUAGAAAGUAUUGAUUCAUGAAUAAACUGACUCAUUGUAUGAUAUCGUGUUCUAGUAAUAGUUCUAAUAUCUUCCUAAACUACCCAUAUGGUAGCUUACUAGUAAUCUAACUGGUACGUAUGGACAUGGAUGUAUACCCUUGCUACCCAAGGGCAUGGGAUGAACUGGAAGGACCUUUUAUGACUAUAUAUGUACACAUGAUAUAUAACUAAUAUUUAAACGACUUUCGGACGAGUACCCGAUAUCCCACCAGACCACAUCUCAAGCGCGAAAAGGAAAUAGGGUGGAUAGCCUUCCUAAGUCUUUUAAACAUUUCUUAUAUAACUAUACAUAUAGAGGCAUGCAAUUUAUAAUAUAAAAGCAUAAAUAAGUUUUGUAAGACAUUUGAAACAUAAUUAUUAUUUUAAGAAAAGAUCGACUUGAUGUCAAUCUAUAAAACAAUUUGAAGGCAUGGGUUUGAUAAAACAGUUUAGUAUAAAGAAACAUUUGUUUGAAACACAAUUGUAAAUAAGUUUGAAAUGUAAUAUACAGAGUAAAAUGUACAGUGUAAUAAGGAGUUUAAAACAUAUAAAAUGUUUAUAAAAAUCAUUUGAAGGAAACUGUUUGGUAAAACGGCUAAUGUGUAGUAAAUCAUUUGAAUGCUGCAUAUUAAUCACAUGUGAUUGAUAUAAUAACUANGUUUGGUAAAACGGCUAAUGAGUAGCCAAAUCAUUUGAAUGCUGUAUAUUAAUCACAUGUGAUUGAUAUAAUAACUAGCAUAAUUCUACUUAUUAAUCACAUGUGAUUGAUAUAAGAAGUAGCAUGAUUCUACUUGUAUCCCCCCCCAUAAAACAUUUAAAAAUAGUUUAAAAUAUUAGUUAAGGGGUAUGAACUCACCUGCAGUAAGUGACUGGAAUUGAACGGACUGUUAUCGUAAGGAAGGAUCGGGCAAGUGCUUGGUGUCAAGUGAAGAAUUAGACACACACAAUGAUCCUAAUUACAUAUGAAGACAUAUGUAUAUAAAUAAUUAGUGAUUAAAACACUAAUUAUACAAGUAUAAACAUUUAAACGCGAGGAAAACACUUUUGGUCAAGUGCUAGGAGGCUAAUGGGUUGCAACAAAGGAGUGCAAUGCCUCUAAUGGAAGUUUAUGGUCAAAUGACCAUAUGUCUUUGAGGUUACGGCCCAGGGGANGAGUAAACUCCUGGCCGUAAACUCUCAACCAAGUCCCUAAAUGAAGUCUAACAAUUAUACAACUCAUGUGGUGAAUUGCUUCAAGGCUUAAACAAGUGUUUGGGCUUCCUAAUAACUCCUUUGAGGGGUUUACGGCCCUGGGACCAUAUCCCAUGGAGUUUACGGCCGUAAAAUCCCUUGGGAGGGUGUUUAUGAUGCUUCCAAGUCCCAUACUCACAUAGGAUAUGUUCUAGGCAAUUGUUCAAGGCUUUAGGAAGAAUUAUGGCACCAUUUGGCACCAUAUAUUGAGUUCACGGCCCUAACAUAUCUUGGGCCGUAAAGUCCCUUUUCUUGGUGUUUUAGUGGUGUUUGCUAGCCCCAAACACACUAGGGUACUAUUCCUAAUUUGUCUCGUGGCUUAAGGAAGGUUUUAAGGGCAUUUUGGCACUUAAACAUGGAGUUCACGGCCCAAGAACCUCCUUGGCCGUGAACUCUCUUUUACCCUUGAAUCUUAAUUGUUUUGGUGUCCUAAAUAUGUAAUGAAGGCUUCUAGUUUGAGUUCUAAUGCUUUGAGGGUCAUUGGAACCCUUUGGGACCUUAAAAUGGAGUUUACUCCCCAAGUGUUCUUGGGCGGUAAACUCCCAAAUCUUGGGGUAUUAAUCCGAUUUUGAUGUUUUCUAGUCAUAUACACACUAGCAUACAAGUCUAAGGUAGUUACAAAUCAUGGGGAAAGGACUAGGUAGCAUUUAAGCCACUUAUUGGAGUUUACUCCCCAAGAACGUUCUUGGGCGGUAAACUCCCGAGUCUCACAGAUUUGAUAUGUAAUUUGUGUUUCUAAACACAAUCUAAGCUAUAUAAAAUAACUAGAUCGAAGUAAUCACAAUUUGGGAUAAAAACCCAAAGAUCCGUGAGAGAGAAUUUCGACUUUUCUCUAAAUGGAAUUCAACAAAUGAACCAAUUUGGUUCAGAAUUCUAUUUAUAGUCCUGAGAUAUUUUUGGCAGAAAAUAUUUUUAUUCCUGGAAUGAACUCUAAUGUCCUAGAGUAUUGGAAUAACAGUGUCGCACAAAACCCUAGUGCAUCCACUCUCCUAAUAUCUCCUUAAGUGUAAAAUCCUGAAAACUACCAAACUUAUACUCGAAGUCUGAAUUUUCACUGUAACUGCUCUACUUCUAUUGGCUUGGUAUGGUUUGUUCAGAAUGGGAAUUUCGGGUUGUCACAGUUUUCAUAUGCCUUAGGGUUUCUAGAAUAGUCUUUGGUGGAUAAAAAGGAAAGUGGAUAAUUACCCGGUUUAAGAUAAUCUUGGAUUAGGGCUUAUCUAGGAUUUCCUGACUGCCCUAUAUAAACAACCUAAACCCUACAAUUUUCGGCCACUUGGUCUUUGGAAGACCUGGUCGAAAAUUUGAGCCUCUCUUCUCCUUCUCAAUCAUCUUCCAUUGCUAGUUUUGGGUGUGAACCACUAGAGGCGUGAGAUUUGUGACGCUUGCUCUCAAGGUUUCAUCAACACAAGGAUUAGCAUUGUCAUUACUAUAUAACAAUCAAGGUAUGAAUCUUCUAACCCUAAUUGUGUAUUUCGAUUAUAUACUAGUAUGCUAGGGUUUUGUAUUUUAUUGUUCAAGUUGUAUGUUCAAUUAAAGAAAGCAUAGAUCAAUUAUUAGGUUUGCAUGCACACAUAGAUUUUAUUAUGUUUUGCAUAAUACCCAUCAAGAAGACCACUAUGCUAGGGUUUGGGACUAUGCAGCUGCAAUUAGGUUGACUAAUUCGGGUACAACUUACUUGGUGAGGGUAGAAAGUUAUCAGGGGUGUAACUAUUUCAAGAGGUUUUAUGUUGGCUUCAAGGCUUUAAAAUAUAGAUGGAACAAAGGAUGUAGAAGGGUAAUAGGACUAGAUGGUAGUUUCUUGAAGGGCCAGGUAAAGGGGGAGAUUUUAACUACUAUUAGGAAGGAUGUAGACAACCAUGUCUACCCAAGAGCAUGAGCAGUUGUGAUUGUUGAGAAUAAGGACAAAUAGACCUGGUUCAUUGAGAAUUUGGUUGCUGAUUUGGAUCUUGGUGCUGGCAAUGGAUUGGUUGUUAUCUCAGACCAACACAAGGUACCAACAACAUGUGUAACACUCAUUAAUUUUUACAUAUAUUGUGUUUGUUUGUUACUUAUAGGGACUUCUACAGUCUGUGGCAUACCUACUCCCCCAUGUUGAGCACAAACAAUGUGCUAGACACAUCUUUGCAAACUUUAGCUAGGAAGAAAUUCAUAGGAUUGGAGCUAAAGACUUUGUUCUGGGAAGCUGAUAUGAGUACAGUGGAAGGGGACUUUCUUGCUACAAUGAAGAGAUAAAAAAGAUAACAAAAACAGGAUACACCUAUCUUAUAGCAAGGAAACCUGAAACCUAGUGCAGAGCCUUCUUUUCUCAUUGGUAUGCUUGUGAAGCAGUAGAGAAUGGGGUCUCAGAAUGUUUCAAUGGCAUGAUCAAAGAAAUAAGGAAGUAGCCUCUACUUACAAUGCUUGAGGAAAUAAGGAUUCUCCUUAUGAAAAGGUUUUAUCAUCAAGGUCAAGAGGUAUCCAAAUGGAGGGGUAAUUGUGCGACUAACAUACAAUUAAAGAUUGAUGAAUUUGGGAAAGAUAUGAGGUAAUGUUAGUUUUUAUGGGCAUGUAUCCAAAUGUAUUAUGUAUUUAUUGUUUAUGUGUGUAGUUUUUUUGUUUUGUGUGUAGUUUGUGGACAGUGGUGCCAAGUGGUGGUGAUGUGUUUGAGACAUGGUAUUGCUACAAUAGAUACAUGUUUGAUUUAGCUACUCACACUUGCACCUGCAACUUGUGGAAGUUGUUUGGCAUACCAUGUGUUCAUAGUCAAGCUACAAUCAACUAUAUCCACAAAGAUUCAAUCCAGUUCCUUUCUUCUUGGUUCCAUAAGGACAAAUAUGUUGCAACAUAUAUGCAGAACAUACAACCUAUAGGUGGAAGCAACUGUGGCCAAGGACUGAGUUUAUUAAACCAUUACCACCCCUAGUUAGAAGGAUGCAUGGAAGACCCAAAAUAAAGAGAGUGAAGCAUGCAUCUGAAUCACAAGAUGUCAAAUACCCCUCACAAAGGUUAAAGGUUCCUAGGACUAUAAGGUGUGGAAAGUGCCAACAACUUGGGCAUAAUAAGAUUUCAUGCACAAAUGAUAAGGUACCUAAGCCCCUGUCCCAAAAAGGAAUAUUAGAAGACCUAGGAAAGAUGGGUGAGGCCAACCGAUCUUUGACCAAUUCCCUCCAGUUGGGCCUGCUAUACCAAGAAGGAAUGGUGCUCCUCCUAUUUUGGAAUCUGGUGAUCAAGAUGGUGCUCCUCCAGUUUCUGAAUCUGGUGAUCAAGAUGGUGGUACUGCUGUUACUCCUAUGAAAAGGACUAAGAUGAUGGCAAGGAGAGGAGGGAAAACAAAGGUUUCUAGAUCAAGUAAAAAUCACCAAAGAAAACACCUAAUGGUAAGCAACGUAUGAUUCAAGAAAAUGAGGAUGUGUCCCUAACCUGUGAUGAGGCUUUUGAUGAUCUUUUCACCCAUACACCUAAUGGUAAGCAACACAUGAGUCAAGAAAAGGACGAUGUUCAAGAACAAGAGAAUGGAAAUGAGGUGAAGGUGAAUGAAAGACUAACUUUAAAGGAGUUGCUACAGUCUGGAUAUACACAUGCUGAUGCAUUGGUUGCUUUGAAAGAGGUAUGUGUUGUUAAAUUAUUUUCUGGCUUUCCUAUUGUGGAUUUACUAAGUAGACUACCAUAUUGUAGGUUUAUGGAGAAGUUCAGGAAAUAGAUGUUGAUGAAAGAGAUGUUCAGGAAAGAGAGAUUAAAGAAAGACAGGUUGGGGAAAGAGAGAUUGAAGAAAGAAAGGUUGAGGAAAGAGAAGUUAAAGAAGGAGAGGCUGAGGAAGGAGAAGUUGAAUAAAGAUAGGUUGAGGAAUAAGAAGUUGAUGAGAGAGAGAGAGAGUGGUUGGAGCAAGAGUGGUACCCUUGGAUCCUAGUUCUUACAAUAUCCAUUGGGAGAAAAGGAGGACUCCCUCUGAAAGAAUUAGGAAACUAAAGCUCAGGAAAAGGAUCCAAGAUAUUGAUGGUGGUGAUUCUACCAAAAGCCCUUGGGUUUUAGAUUAAGAAGUUGUGUUUAAGGGUUGAAUGGGUAGAAUGGGCAUUAGUAAAUAGGUUACCCUUUUUGUAAACAUCUACUUUUAGUACACUUGUCUUUUGGUAAUAAGCUUCCAAUUCCUAUCAAUAAUGUUUGGUAGAAUUGGAAAUUUGGUUCUAAUUAGGUUACAUGGUAUGGUAGUGGUUUGUGUGAAGCUUUGUAAAGUACAUUCCCUUUUUUGGGUUGUUAACUGACAUUGACAUUUUGGAAGCUUUGUAAACUACAUGGUAUGAUUGUUAAGUUAUCAGUAUAUGUGUCUUGAUCACUAUAAUUGUUGUUACCUUUCAUGUUUUGGUUAGUUUGUUAAGUAGGUUGCUAUUAAAUUUUUAAGAUUUGGUCAUUUUUAUACAUAUGUAUGUGUUACAGGUAUUUGCCAUUAUUAAGACAUAAUACAUUGUUAUCAUUAAGACAUAAUAAGUUAUUAUCAUUGUCAUCUCUUACAACACCAAAAUAUUACCAUACAUAAUACAUGCAUCAACUUAUUGUCUAACUUGACCAGAAUACCCAUACACCUAAACUACUACUACCAUUCCACCUGAACCUAACUAAUGCCCACAAGUUUACAGUUCUUUAACCACAACAUUGUGAACCAUAAACCCCAUCACAAUCACCACCACCAAAAGCAUGAUCAUCAUAAGUAGCUCCACCUUCAACAGGUUUAAAAAUAUCCACUUGAAUUGCUUUGUUGUUCUUGGCCUCCUCCGAAAGCUUCAAAAUCUUCAUUCCAAAUGUUUUAUUGUUCUUAGCCUCCUCCAAAUCCAUAUGGAACUUCCACAUAGUUUUCUUGUAGUAAGUAUUUGGCAGUGGUGGAUCAAGCCACAAAAAAAUUCGCAUUUUUUAGAGUCCUGCACAACCACCACUUCUUCAUACCGGUUCAACAAUACCACAAAAAGAAGCAGGAAACUUGAUAUUACCUGAUAGUUUGGACACCCCCUGAAUUUCUUCCAUGGAUUAUUGACAGUUUUGGAGAUCAAGAAUGUCGUAGGUUCAUCACACUCGCAUCUCAAAUCUUAAGACCAACGAUUCCUUAAAGUUCAUUCUAUGUACCCUUGUGUGUGCAUGUUAGAGGAGCUUACCAUCUUACAGGAUUGACGUUGGAGAAAAGAAUGGAACAAAACCUAGCUAACAAUUGACCUCCAACGUUCGUCUUUGCUUUGUAACCUGCUGAAACUGGUGAACGAAAAAUUAAAUUCAGGGUUUUUUUCAAUUUAGUGCCAAAAUCAUGGGAUUUAGUGAUAUUAGUCGUAUGUAAAAACUACAACAAUCUUCCAAUUAAUUUUGCUUAUGAAUAAGAUGUAGUUAUUGUAGGAAAAUUUAGAGUAUGUGGUGGAGAUCUGGAUACCAACUUGGAUCGUGAUAUCACUUUCUGAAAUGAUAUUUCUACCCUAUGCCUGGGUUACAAGAAAUUCAGUCUAGGAUAAUCCAAGUGGACACUUACGUUUCUAGGCACAGAAAACAUAAGUCAAUAUGCUAGAGGAUUCUGUGAAUGUAUGAUGAAAAAUGAGAGCUUAAGAUCGUAACCCCCUUCUGGAAAGGAAGAGUUGUUUAUAUAUUAAACAUGAUUAGAGUUUCAUUAGGGUUGGGUCGUCAUUAGUUGCUUUGGAAGCAAGUAAUAUCAAUCUGGAUCUAAUGAGGAUUUAGGGUUACCAAAAACUAACGAGUUUCGUUAGUUUUACGAUAAUCACCCUCAAGAAAUUGAAUUUUCAUUAGCGGGACCCCAGCCAGGGGCUCUGCCCCUUGGACCCCGCCAAAGGGGCGCUGCCCCUUUGGAAACCCCGGACACGGGGGCGCUGCCCCCGGACCCCCCGACUAGUCGUCGAACCGGCUUCUGACUUGGUCUUAUACAUGUGUGCACUUCGCACAACCCCGUACAUAUAUUAGAGUACAAAUCAUGAAGCUCCUUAGCUCACAUGUUGGUUCCAGUUACUUAAAAUGACAUGGUGACACUAAAAUCACCAACACUAUUUUACCAGCUUUUGUUUUUUGGGCCCCGACUUUUUCCAUCGAUCUUUUCUUGAACUUAUAUUGUUAUCGAAGAGUACUAAUGCAGCCGAUUUCUUUUGUAUUUUUGCCCCCACCAAAUAUAAUACAACAUUGUAGGUUGGUAGGUUUGUGUUCUUAAAAAUGCAAUAUAAAUAAGUGGAUGUAAACCACCAAAAAUUUGAUUGUUCAACCCUUUUCUUCCCUCACACUCUACUCUUUGUGUACGUGUGUGUGGGGGUGUGAGUAUUCAAUGGAGAGUAGUAGCUCAGAAACGCCCCUUCUUACCGUUACAAAGAACGCUCACUUCAAUGGCGACGUGGAAGAUAUCUCUCCAAUCAACGGAAUAAAAGAUUUCUUUGUCCAAUUUAAAGUUGAAUCAAAAAAACUUUGGUACCUUGCUGCCCCUGCCAUUUUCACUAGUGUAAGUCAAUACUUACUUGGUGCCAUCACACAAACCCUUUUAGGUCAUGUUGGAACUCUCGAACUCGCAGCUUUCUCCAUUGAAAACUCAGUCAUCGCUGGUUUCUCUUUGGGAAUCUUGGUUAGUAUAUAUCUUUAUUUACUGGUGGUCGAUUGAUCAUAAUUAAGGUCUCUCUCUCUCUACAUGUAUAUGAAUAUGAAAUAUAUAUAUAUAAAUGAUUGAUGUUGUCUAUGAUGUACAUGUGCAUGAAAUGCACAGCUUGGAAUGGGCAGCGCAUUGGAGACUUUGUGUGGACAAGCAUUUGGAGCAGGUCAGGUGAAUAUGUUGGGAGAAUAUAUGCAGAGAUCGUGGGUUAUUCUCUUUGUGACUUCUCUCUUUAUGAUGUUCCUUUACAUCUUCGCGACUCCAAUACUCCUCUUCAUUGGACAAACUGAUGAUAUAUCUCAAGCGGCUGGGAAGCUGGCUGUAUGGAUGAUUCCACAGCUGUUUGCUUACGCCUUCAACUUUCCAAUAAUCAAGUUUCUUCAGUCGCAGAGUAAGAUCAUGGUGAUGGCUUACAUAUCAGGAGUGGUGCUGGUGCUUCAUGCCUUUUUUAGCUGGUUUUUGAUGUUGAAGUUGGGAUGGGGGUUAUGGGGUGGAGCUAUAGUGCUCAACCUUUCAUGGUGGUUCAUGGUGAUUGCUCAGAUGAUUUAUAUUCUCAGUGGGACUUGUGGUGAAGCAUGGUCAGGGU